GUUUUAAUAAUUUAAUUAAAAUAUUGAUUUUGUAAAUCAAAAAUAAGGUAACUUUUAAAACU
rnacentral:tRNA from 1 species